rnacentral:misc_RNA from 1 species
AAGAUUCUUGACCUUUGGGUCGAACUCUUCAGCUGUGCGCUUUGGCUGCACGCUGAUAAAAAUUCACACACCUGUGCACAUUUCGGUCGCACCCUGCAUGCAGGUUUGCUUCCGCUUUAACAUACAACCACACGUCUUGAAUGUAACAAACUAUAAAGUAA